rnacentral:lncRNA from 1 species
GUGCACAUGUUAAUCAUGUACUUGAUUCAACAUUUCCUUGCCUUUUUUUCUUCAGCAUUCCAGUUGGCUUUUGAGUGGAUAAUUGUUGCGGAGAGAGAAUUCACUUUGGAAACAACUAGUGACUGUUUGAACUACAUAAAAUACAACCAUGGAAAGAAAUACGUGUGAUUUGCUCUCUCGGAGCAAAAGUGCCUCUGAGGAAACACUGCAUUCUAGUAAUGAAGAGGAAGACCCUUUUCGAGGAAUGGAGCCCUACCUUGUUCGAAGACUUUCAUGCCGCAAUAUACAGCUUCCUCCCCUUGCCUUCAGACAACUGGAACAGGCUGACUUGAAAAGUGAAUCAGAGAACAUUCCAAGACCAACCAGCCUCCCCUUGAAGAUUCUGCCACUGAUUGCUAUCACUUCUGCAGACUCCAGUGGGAUUACAAGGCACCAUGGAACAAAUGAAAAUUCCUAAGUAGGUGAUACGAUGUCAGUCAAGGAAGGAAGACACAAACUGUUUCCACGUCUUGAACAUUAUCAAAGUAAUUCAAAGACCCAGCAUUAUUUCUAAAUCUUAUGGCAAGUGUUAGCUAUGUAGUUUCAGAAAUUUAAUGAAAAAUGAAACCUUUUAGUGUUAAGAACAAUAAAAAAAGCUUCUUUGUAGCUCCAGAUGGAGCAUUUUGUGGUAAACAAGUUAACCAUUGCCUACUGAACUAAGAGACUCUUCUAGAGACCUGGCCAGCCCUGAAGAGGAGCUUUUCAGGCCAGAUACCUUGCUUUCUCCAUUGUCAUUGUUGUUUGUCCUUUACCCCCAGCUCUGGUCUAUUAGACUAGGAAGGCACGUAAAAUAAGAAUCUGAAAAAUCUUGUAUAUAAUGUGGAGAACACAAACUAGCUGGGGUAAAUGAACUGAGACCUCAUUUUAGAUCCAUGACAGGAAAAGAGGGAGGCAUUAUUAUUCUUGAAAAGUGAAGCAGAGUUUGCGAUUUAAAUGUUACUAAUGUAUUUGCUAAAGCUUUCAACAAAGGGUCAUUCACUGUGAUUGUAGCAUUUGAAUUCAGAAAAGCCAAUUAUCCAAACAAAUGACUCAAGGAAACAAUAGCACA